GCGGCGGUGGCGGCGGCGGCAGCAGCAGCGGGGGUUGUGGGCGGUCGGGGCUCCGGGCCGGGGCGGCGGCGCCAUUUUGUGCCCGGGGCCGGUGGGGAGGCCGGGGAGGGGGCCCCGGGGGGCGCAGGGGGACUACGGGAACGGCCUGGAGUCUGAGGAACUGGAGCCUGAGGAGCUGCUGCUGGAGCCCGAGCAGGAGCCCGAACCCGAAGAGGAGCCGCCCCGGCCCCACGCCCCCCCGGAAGCUCCGGGCCCUGGGCCUGGUUCGGGAGCCCCCGGCAGCCAAGAGGAGGAGAAGGAGCCGGGACUGGUCGAGGGUGACCCGGGGGUCGGCGCCAUUGAGGACCCGGAGCUGGAAGCUAUCAAAGGUCGAGUCAGGGAGAUGGAGGAAGAAGCUGAGAAGCUAAAGGAGCUACAGAACGAGGUAGAGAAGCAUAUGAAUGAGUCCACCUCCAGGCAAUGCUGGCCCAGUGAUCAUGUCCAUUGAGGAGAAGAUGGAGGCUGAUUCCCGUUCCAUCUGUGUUGGCAAUGUGGACUAUGGUGCAACAGCAGAAGAGCUGGAAGCUCACUUUCAUGGCUGUGGAUCAGUCAACCGUGUUACCAUACUCUGUGACAAAUUUAGUGGCCAUCCCAAAGGGUUUGCGUAUAUAGAGUUCUCAGACAGAGUCAGUGAGGACUUCCUUGGCCUUAGAUGAGUCCCUAUUUAGAGGAAGGCAAAUCAAGGUGAUCCCAAAACGAACCAACAGACCAGGCAUCAGCACAACAGACCGGGGUUUUCCACGAGCCCGCUACCGCGCCCGGACCACCAACUACAACAGUUCCCGCUCUCGAUUCUACAGUGGUUUUAACAGCAGGCGUCCGGGUUGCGUCUACAGGGGCCGGGCUAGAGCGACAUCAUGGUAUUCCCCUUACUAAAAAAAGUGUGUAUUAGGAGGAGAGAGAGGAAAAAAAGAGGAAAGAAGGAAAAAAAAAAAAAAAAAGAAUUAAAAAAAAAAAAAA